rnacentral:rRNA from 1 species
AUUGAACGCUGGCGGCAGGCCUAACACAUGCGAGUCGAACGGUAACAGGAAGCAGCUUGCUGCUUUGCUGACGAGUGGCGGACGGGUGAGUAAUGUCUGGGAAACUGCCUGAUGGAGGGGGAUAACUACUGGAAACGGUAGCUAAUACCGCAUAACGUCGCAAGACCAAAGAGGGGGACCUUCGGGCCUCUUGCCAUCGGAUGUGCCCAGAUGGGAUUAGCUAGUAGGUGGGGUACCGGCUCACCUAGGCGACGAUCCCUAGCUGGUCUGAGAGGAUGACCAGCCACACUGGAACUGAGACACGGUCCAGACUCCUACGGGAGGCAGCAGUGGGGAAUAUUGCACAAUGGGCGCAAGCCUGAUGCAGCCAUGCCGCGUGUAUGAAGAAGGCCUUCGGGUUGUAAAGUACUUUCAGCGGGGAGGAAGGGAGUAAAGUUAAUACCUUUGCUCAUUGACGUUACCCGCAGAAGAAGCACCGGCUAACUCCGUG